rnacentral:ncRNA from 1 species
AAAAUAGCGAUGAAUAAGAUUAGUAAAUGGAAAACGGCGAAAGAGAGUGAAGCUCAGCGGCUGAAAGGCUUCACAGUCCACUUGACCAUUGAACCUGCCUUAUGAGCUGUUAGGAAAACCUAAACGCACCCCCGGCGUUAUCGGGAUCGAGAUGCCUUUUCAAAGACAGCGGAUGCAGCAGGCAUGCUGCACUCAGAAGGAAAGGCAAUGAAGGUGGUACCGCGGAAGCAUAGUCUUUUCGUCCUUUAC